UACGGGGGGGGCAAGCGUUGUUCGGAAUUACUGGGCGUAAAGCGCGUGUAGGUGGCUCUUCAAGUCGGGUGUGAAAUCUCGGGGCUUAACUCCGAAACUGCAUUCGAUACUGCCGUGCUUGAGGACUGGAGAGGCGACUGGAAUUUACGGUGUAGCGGUGAAAUGCGUAGAUAUCGUAAGGAAGACCAGUGGCGAAGGCGGGUCUCUGGACAGUUCCUGACGCUGAGGCACGAAGGCCAGGGGAGCAAACGGG
rnacentral:rRNA from 1 species